GCUCCAGUAGCAUAUAUUAAAGUUGUUGCAGUUAAAAAGCUCGUAGUUGGAUUUCUGGUACGAUGCGCCUGAUCCGCGACGUCUACGUCUGUGAGUAUCGGAGCGCGUCUGCCAUCCUUCUGGGGAAUGUCUCUACCUUCACUGGGCCGGAUUCAUGAUCCAGAUCGUUUACUUUGAAAAAAUUAGAGUGUUCAAAGCAG
rnacentral:rRNA from 1 species